rnacentral:tRNA from 1 species
UGUUCUGUAGCUUAGUUGGUUGAAGAGCCGGUCUAGCGAAAACGGAUGCGUGGGUUCGAAUCCCACUAGAACAC